UACGGAGGGGGACUAGCGUUGUUCGGAAUUACUGGGCGUAAAGCGCACGUAGGCGGAUUUGUAAGUCAGGGGUGAAAUCCCGGGGGCUCAACCUCGGAACUGCCUUUGAUACUGCAAAUCUCGAGUCCGGAAGAGGUGAGUGGAAUUCCUAGUGUAGAGGUGAAAAUUCGUAGAUAUUAGGAAGAACACCAGUGGCGAAGGCGGCUCACUGGUCCGGUACUGACGCUGAGGUGCGAAAGCGUGGGGGAGCAAACAGG
rnacentral:rRNA from 1 species